rnacentral:rRNA from 1 species
AUGUUCGUCCUUCUCGCUGGGAACCCCGGUGGAUCCCCCUCGCCCUCGCUGUUUGGCACCGGCGCCGCCCUGCCGCUUCGGCCCCGCGGCCACCUCUCCUUCCUCCCGCAAGACCAUGGCCAGGCCACCCCGGCCAGUCGCCUGCCGACGCCCUCCGCCAACCAGGAAGCAACAUGGCUGCCCGUCCAUGGAGAUGAGCUGCACCGCCUUGGUCACUUUGUGCUCUGCUCCACGCGCCCGUCCUGGAGCGCCCUGGCCUCGGUUCCGGUGGGUUCCUGUGCGCCCUCUCCCGACCAAGUCCCCGUCGCCAAGUUCACGGUCACCGCCGCGCGCAUGCACCCCUGCUUUGCUCCUACAGACACGCAACCGCCCAUUAGCUCCUGCGAUGCCUGCUACCGCCGCUAUUUUUCCUCGGUCAAAGGAACAAACGACUCCACCAGAGACCGCCAAGACAGUCCAGGAUUCGCCAAGUACCACGUCGUUGGUGUCCCUCCAUGUGUGAUGUUGGAACGUGCAUGA